CCUACGGGACGCAGCAGUAAGGGAUAUUGGUCAAUGGGGGAAACCCUGAACCAGCAACGCCGCGUGAGGGAAGACGGUUUUCGGAUUGUAAACCUCUGUCCUCUGUGAAGAUGAUGACGGUAGCAGAGGAGGAGGCUCCGGCUAACUACGUGCCAGCAGCCGCGGUAAUACGGAGGAUCCGAGCGUUAUCCGGAUUUAUUGGGUUUAAAGGGUGCGUAGGCGGUUUGAUAAGUUAGAGGUGAAAUGUCGGGGCUCAACCCCGAAACUGCCUCUAAUACUGUUGGACUAGAGAAUAGUUGCGGUAG
rnacentral:rRNA from 1 species